rnacentral:lncRNA from 1 species
GGCAAAGGCUGUGGAGUAGAUAGUAACAAGGUGGUCUACAAACCAGGGCAAGCCCUUCUCUAGACGUCAACCCUGUCUGUACAUCUUGAAUUGCUCACCUCAAGACUGUGAAGAAAUAAACACCCACUGUAUAAGCCUCUCAGCCUGUGGCAUUUUGGGGUGUCAGCCUGAGUUGACUAAGACACCUGGAAAUGCUCAAAUAGAAGGCUCAGAAGUUAGUGUGGAGGGCAUCGAGAUGUUGUCUAAUGGCUGGCUAAUCUUCUUGGACUUCAGAAUCUUUCAUUUCUAAAAGGAGCUCUAUAAACAACGUUCAGCCUGGCAAAGCAAAAAGAGUGUCUUCUUUGAUCCUUGGUUAAGAUUCUGAAGUGGGUAAGAGUCUGCCAUGACAGAGGACUUCAUUGCAGGAAGGCCCAGGCUGUCAUCAUGGCAGUAGCUAGGCAUUCAAAAGGAACCCCAUGCUGGUUAGUUUUGAUUGUCAACCCAAUGCAACUGAGUACCAUCUGGCAAGAGUCUUAAGAGUUAUGGCCAAUGGACAUAUCAGUAGGUGAUUGUCUAGAUUGUUAAUUGAUAUAGGAAGAUCCAGCUCACUGUAGGCAAUUCCACCAUCUGGCAAGAGUCUUAAGAGUUAAGGCCAAUGGACAUAUCAGUAGGUGAUAGUCUAGAUUGUUAAUUGAUAUAGGAAGAUCCAGCUCACUGUAGGCAAUUCAUUCUCUAGGCAGGAGGUCCAGAACUGUCUAAGAGGAGAAAUAGAGCUGACAGCAAGCAAGGAUCCAUGUGUUUAUUCUCUUUGUCCCUUGAUUGUGGAUGUGGUACUUUGAGUUUUUGCCUUGAUGGCCCCAAAAUAAUGGACUGUAACCUUGGGUUGUAAGUUAAACAAACUCUUUCUUUCACAGGUUGACUUUGGUAAGGGUAUUUUUAUUUAUUUAUUUAUUUAUUUAUUUAUUUAUUUAUUUAUUUAUUUAUUUAUUUAUUUAUUUAUUUAUUUAUUUAUUUAUUUAUUUAUUUAUUUAUUUAUUUAUUUAUUUAUUUAUUUAUUUAUUUAUUUAUUUAUUUAUUUAUUUAUUUAUUUAUUUAUUUAUUUAUUUAUUUAUUUAUUUAUUUUUAAAGGUUUUCUUUAUUUAUUAUGUAUACAACAUUCUGCUUCCAUGUAUAUCUGCACACCAGAAGAGGGCACCAGAUCUCAUAACGGAUGGUUGUGAGCCACCAUGUGGUUGCCGAGAAUUGAACUCAGGACCUCUGGAAGAACAGUCAGUGCUCUUAACUGCUGAGCCAUCUCUCUGGCCCCGAGCUGCCAUGGCAUUACAGAAGGAAGACAGAAGGAAAGAGCCCCUGAUCUGAGAUAACAAGUGACCCCAUAAAACUGAAGGGAAAUCAGCUGAACCUACCACAAAGCACGGGGAACAGCCCUAAAUCCUGCUCAGUUCUGAAUACAAAGGCUCCAGUCUACUGUUUUGAAAGAAUCCCACAGCCAAUAAACAAAAAGUGAUUUUCUAUUGAUCUACGGGUCUCCCUUUGUGUUAACAAAGACCAUGG